rnacentral:rRNA from 1 species
AUGACGUCCCGGAGAGGAGGGCAGACAUCGUCCUUCCGCUUCCAGAGUUCUAGUGGUAAGCCCCGUAUGAACCACCUCUCCCCCGCCCCCGUUUUCUCAUUGCUCAAGACAGCACUAGCAUGCUGUCUUGAUGAUCCAGACUUAACUAGAACUUGUGGAGGUGGAGCUUCGAGAGCUCCUCCCUUGGCGAUGAAGUUCCUAUCAUCCAUGGAUCCGCCUUCUCAUCCAUGGAUGGCUAUGGUUAUCCUCCCCCUCCUCCUACUCCUCGUGCCUCUCACCGCUGCCGAAACGCCGCCAUCCUGCGGCAAGAGUGGCCACUACAAAUCAAAUAGCACCUACGAAGCCAACCUCAGGCUCCUCUCUUCAACCCUCCCGAAGAAAGCAGCAUCCAGCACCACCCUCUUCGCAACCGGCAUCACCGGCAGUGUUCCGGACAUCCGUUUCGGCCAAAAAAUUUCAACACUUUCGGCCCCCAAAAUCAAUUCCCGUCAGUGCCUUCUUGCGCGGGAAAAAACCGCGCCAAAGGCCCAAACAUGCCCCCCAGAGGCCCGCGAAUGGGUAUAUUCCUCUCCCGUGCCGUCACUUCCAACCCUAAAUCGCCAGAUCCAGGAAAAAAUCCCCUUUUCCGCCGGCGGCGCCGUUGCCGGAGGCUCGAGCUCCUCCUCCGUCAAAGCCAAGCAAGCUCCGCUCUCGCGCAUCCCCUCCCCCUUGCACCUUCCUCCCUGCGUCUCCGCGUCGCUCACCCACCCAGCCCGCCACCCACUCUUCCCCGUCGUACGCGUCAAAUCUGCGUCGCCGCGAGGACGCCACAUCACAAAGCACACCGGCCACCACCACGGCACUGCUCAUCUGCCCGUCGUUAGCUGCGUGACCACCGCCUUUCAGGACCUCCAGCAGCUCUGCGCGUACAAUAAGGAGGCCGUCGUGUACUACGAUCUCUGCAUGCUCAAGUUCUCCGACAAGGAUUUCCUCGCCAGCACCACCCUCGAUGAAACACUCAUCCUCCAGAACACUCAGAACUUUACGACAAACGCCGACAUCACCCAACGAUUAUUGUUCACGCUUAUCAACAGCACGGCUCAAUCGGCCGCGAAUAGCUCGAGGAGGUUCACCACCUCGCGCAUAGAUGUCGCUUCCUCCCCGACGCUGUACUGUGUCAUGCAGUGUACGCCGGAUCUGACCGCCGCAGACUGUACGGCCUGUUUCAAGAUUGUCUCGAGUUGUACACUCCAGUACCUGGCCGGAAGGCCAGGUGGCGGAGUUCUGGGGAUACGGUGCAACAUGAGGUACGAGAUGUACCCAUUCUUCCCGGGGGACCCUAUGCUGCAUAUUAACAACUUGGCCCCUGAAGUUCCGGCGAUCAACAACACUACGACACCAGCUACCGUGUACUCACAGCCACCAGCUCCGGCGCCACCCCCGGAGGGAAAAGCGACCAUCCAAGAACAUAACGGACACAAAUCAGGCAAGAUGAGGCUAUGGAUUAUUAUUGCUGUGGUGGCUACACUGCUGUCAAUACUUAUGUGCUUUAUCUGUUUCAUUGUAUGGAUGAGAAGAAAAGGGAAGGUAAACAUAAAUAAUCAAGCUGCCACGGAUAGGCCGGAAGAAAAUGCACUGGUUUGGAGAUUAGAGGAGAGGAGUUCAGAGUUCACACUCUUUGACUUUCAUGAGAUAUUGCAAGCUACACACAACUUUUCCAAAGAAAAUCUACUUGGGAAAGGUGGUUUUGGCCCUGUCUACAAGGGCCAAUUACCAAAUGGAAUGGAGAUUGCUGUUAAAAGGCUUGCCUCACAUUCAGGACAGGGUUUCACAGAAUUCAAGAAUGAAGUUGAACUUAUUGCAAAACUACAACACAAUAAUCUGGUAAAGCUCUUGGGAUGUUGCAUUCAGGGAGACGGAAAACUAUUGGUGUAUGAGUAUUUUCCCAAUAAGAGCUUGGACUUCUUUAUAUUUGAUGAAAACAGAACAGCUUUGGUUGAUUGGGAAAAAAGACGUGUCAUAAUCGAAGGGAUAGCCCAAGGUCUUCUAUAUCUUCACAAGCACUCUCGAUUGCGCAUCAUACACAGAGAUCUCAAGGCCAGCAACAUUCUCUUGGACCAGAACAUGAAUCCUAAAAUUUCUGAUUUUGGCCUAGCAAAAAUAUUCAGCUCCAAUGACACUCAGGGAAGCACAAAGAGGGUAGUGGGAACAUAUAUGCAUCUGAAGGCAUGUACUCAAUCAAAUCCGACGUGUUCAGCUUUGUCAUGGCAUCUCUGGGAAGGAGGAAGAUGGCUUGAGCUUCUAGAAUUAUCAAUUGUUACGGAGAUCCAUACAACAGAGGCUAGGAGGUAUAUUAACAUUGCACUAAUGUGUGUACAAGAGAGUGCGGAUGAUCGACCCACCAUGUCAGAUGUUGUUGCAAUGUUAAACAGCGAGAGCGAUAUUAUUCCAAAGCCUAAUCCUCCUGCGCACGUCAACGUAAGAGUAUCUAAGGUUGUUCCAUGCAGUAAUAAUGAUGUAACCAUCACCGAAGAGCCAGAUGGAAGAUAG